rnacentral:rRNA from 1 species
AUUGAACGCUGGCGGCAGGCCUAACACAUGCAAGUCGAGCGAGCGGCGGACGGGUGAGUAAUUUCUGGGAAACUGCCUGAUGGAGGGGGAUAACUACUGGAAACGGUAGCUAAUACCGCAUACCAUCAGAUGUGCCCAGAUGGGUUUAGCUAGUAGGUGGGGUAAUGGCUCACCUAGGCGACGAUCCCUAGCUGGUCUGAGAGGAUGACCAGGCACACUGUAACUGAGACACGGUCCAGACUCAGACGGGAGGCAGCAGUGGGGAAUAUUGCACAAUGGGAGCAAGCCUGAUGCAGCCAAGCCGAGUGUAUGAAGAAGGCCUUCGGGUUGUAAAGUACUUUCAGCGAGGAGGCGUUACUCGCAGAAGAAGCACCGGCUAACUCCGUGCCAGCAGCCGCGGUAUAC